rnacentral:tRNA from 22 species
GGGGUCGUAGCUCAGCUGGGAGAGCACCUGCCUUGCACGCAGGGGGUCGGGAGUUCGAUCCUCCCCGGCUCCACCA